rnacentral:rRNA from 1 species
UACGUAGGGUGCGAGCGUUGUCCGGAAUUACUGGGCGUAAAGAGCUCGUAGGUGGUUUGUCGCGUUGUCCGUGAAAACUCACAACUCAAUUGUGGGCGUGCGGGCGAUACGGGCAGACUGGAGUACUGCAGGGGAGACUGGAAGUUCCUGGUGGUAGCGGUGGAAUGCGCAGAUAUCAGGAGGAACACCGGUGGCGAAGGCGGGUCUCUGGGCAGUGAACUGACGCUGGAGGAGCGAAAAGCGUGGGGAGCGAACAGG